UGGGGAAUAUUGGGCAAUGGGCGAAAGCCUGAACCUGCGACGCCGCGUGAGUGAUGAAGGUCGUAAGAUCGUAAAACUCUUUUCAGGGAUCUUAAAGCCUGUCUGUCAACAACAGGCAGGUCUGACUCUCCCUGGAAGAAGCCCCAGCCAACUACGUGCCAGCAGCUGCAGUAAUACGUAGGGGGCGAGCGUUAUUCGGAAUUACUGGGUGUAAAGGGUAUGUAGGCGGCCCUUCAAGUCGCGUGUCAAAGUCCAGUGCUCAACGCUGGGUGUGCGCGCGAUACUGACGGGCUUGAGGGCUGGAGAGGUGAGCGGAAUUCCCGGUGUAGUGGUAAAAUACGUAGAGAUCGGGAGGAACACCAGCGGCGCAGGCGGCUCACUAGACAGUUUCUGACGCUAAGAUACGAAAGCGUGGGGAGCAAACA
rnacentral:rRNA from 1 species